GUAUCCUGGCUCAGAUUGAACGCUGGCGGCAGGCCUUACACAUGCAAGGUCGAGCGGUAGAGAGGUGCUUGCAUCUCUUGAGAGCGGCGGACGGGUGAGUAAUGCCUAGGAAUCUGCCUAGUGGUGGGGGAUAACGUUCGGAAACGGACGCUAAUACCGCAUACGUCCUACGGGAGAAAGCGGGGGAUCUUCGGACCUCGCGCCAUUAGAUGAGCCUAGGUCGGAUUAGCUAGUUGGUGAGGUAAUGGCUCACCAAGGCGACGAUCCGUAACUGGUCUGAGAGGAUGAUCAGUCACACUAGAACUGAGACACGGUCCAGACUCCUACGGGAGGCAGCAGUGGGGAAUAUUGGACAAUGGGCGAAAGCCUGAUCCAGCCAUGCCGCGUGUGUGAAGAAGGUCUUCGGAUUGUAAAGCACUUUAAGUUGGGAGGAAGGGUAGUAACCUAAUACGUUGCUACUUUGACGUUACCGACAGAAUAAGCACCGGCUAACUUCGUG
rnacentral:rRNA from 1 species